rnacentral:sRNA from 1 species
GUUGGAAUGAAGAUUUGAAAGAAGCAGGUGGGAUCUUCAGAGAGGAGAACGCCUCUCUGGGGGGACUGCAGCAUGAAGGCUCUGAGAUGAGAGUGUGCUUGGAGUAGAGUUACUCCGAGAUCUCUCAGAUAAAAUGCCCGGACAGUAACAUCUUAAGAGGGAUUUCCCAGUUGUUACAUUUAUAACAGACUGACAGGUGAAAGCAGAAACAUGGAGAUGAGAUCAGAGACCUCUACAGCUAUCCAAGUAACCGAACACAGGUGCAGGGUCUCAAGGACCUCUCAGGCUGAGCUCUAAGUGACCCUGUGACAGCAGUUUUAGGACCCCAGGCAUGUGGAACCACACUUGAUCUAUGCAGUGCUGGAGAUUAAACCUAAGGUUGCACGUGGUGGGCAAGCAUUGUACCAAUCAAACUACACCCUCGGUGGAUUCGUUUUGAAGGAUAUCCCUGCUCACUAUGAAAAGCUUUGAGAGAUCUUCUGUGUCACUCUGGAGGAAAGCUGACACGAAAUGCCAUGGAUUUCAAAAGGCGUCUGAUUUCAGAGACACGAGGAUGUCAAAGAUGGGGAAGUCCUGUCUGUCUGUGUAACGCAGUGAUGUUAAGGGCUCGGUUGCUCAAGCAAGGAGCAGCUGGCUAUCUGGG